rnacentral:rRNA from 1 species
GGUGAUAAGGUCCGGGUUCGAAAGGGAAACAGCCCAGACCACCAGCUAAGGUCCCAAAAUAUAUGUUAAGUGGAAAAGGAUGUGGCGUUGCCCAGACAACUAGGAUGUUGGCUUAGAAGCAGCCAUCAUUUAAAGAGUGCGUAAUAGCUCACUAGUCGAGUGACACUGCGCCGAAAAUGUACCGGGGCUAAACAUAUUACCGAAGCUGUGGAUUGUCCUUUGGACAAUGGUAGGAGAGCGUUCUAAGGGCGUUGAAGCAUGAUCGUAAGGACAUGUGGAGCGCUUAGAAGUGAGAAUGCCGGUGUGAGUAGCGAAAGACGGGUGAGAAUCCCGUCCACCGAUUGACUAAGGUUUCCAGAGGAAGGCUCGUCCGCUCUGGGUUAGUCGGGUCCUAAGCUGAGGCCGACAGGCGUAGGCGAUGGAUAACAGGUUGAUAUUCCUGUACCACCUAUAAUCGGUUUAAGCGAUGGGGGGACGCAGUAGG